GCGGCGGGGCUCGGCCGGGCGGGCGCAGCCGCUCCCCGCACCCCGCACCAGCGGCGGGGCAGCGCAGCUGGCAUGGUGCUGGUGGCAGCUCGCCGCGCCCGCGUUGCACGGAGGAAGCCCGAGCGGAGCCGCGAUGGAGAUGCUGCUGCCGCCCGUAUGUACCAAACUUUGCCAUCAGAAGCCCUUGGAUCUGAAAGAUGAUAACACUGAAAUUCACUGUCCUAUUACAGUAAAUCCAUGGCACAUGAAGAAAGCUUUUAAAGUUAUGAAUGAAUUAAGAAGUCAAAACUUGCUGUGUGAUGUGACGAUAGUAGCUGAAGACAUGGAAAUUGCAGCGCAUAGAGUUGUGUUAGCCGCCUGCAGCCCCUACUUCCAUGCCAUGUUUACAGGUGAGAUGAGUGAAAGCCGAGCAAAAAAAGUUCGAAUAAAGGAAGUUGAUGGCUGGACUCUAAGGAUGCUUAUUGAUUAUAUUUACACUGCUGAAAUUCAAGUUACAGAAGAAAAUGUGCAGGUACUGCUCCCAGCAGCUGGUCUCUUGCAACUGCAGGAUGUGAAGAGGACUUGCUGUGAAUUUUUGGAAUCUCAGCUUCAUCCUAUCAACUGCCUGGGAAUUCGUGCUUUCGCUGACAUGCAUGCAUGCACAGAGCUCCUGAGCAAGGCCAACACAUAUGCAGAACAGCACUUUUCUGAUGUUGUGCUUAGUGAAGAAUACCUCAAUCUCGGUGUAGAGCAGGUGUGCAGUCUGAUAUCCAGUGACAAACUCACAAUUGCCUCAGAGGAGAAGGUAUUUGAAGCAGUGAUAGCCUGGGUAAACCAUGACAAAGAUGUAAGGCAGGAGUUAAUGGCACGUCUGAUGGAGCAUGUUCGGCUGCCUUUGCUUUCCCGGGAGUAUUUAGUUCAGAGAGUUGAAGAGGAAAUAUUGGUUAAGAACAGCAGUGCUUGUAAAGAUUACCUCAUUGAAGCCAUGAAGUAUCACUUGCUACCAACUGAGCAACGGGCAUUGAUGAAAAGCACACGGACAAAAUUGAGAACACCUGCCAGCCUUCCAAAGUUGAUGAUGGUAGUUGGGGGACAGGCUCCAAAGGCAAUUCGCAGUGUUGAAUGCUAUGAUUUUAAAGAAGAACGCUGGCAUCAAGUAGCUGAAUUGCCUUCCAGAAGAUGUAGAGCAGGAAUGGUGUACAUGGGAGGCAUGGUUUAUGCUGUUGGUGGUUUCAAUGGCUCUUUGAGAGUUCGUACAGUAGAUUCCUAUGAUCCAGUGAAGGACCAGUGGACAAGUGUUGCUAACAUGCAAGACAGGAGAAGCACACUGGGAGCAGCUGUGUUAAAUGGCCUUCUUUAUGCUGUGGGAGGAUUUGAUGGGAGUACAGGUUUGUCAUCAGUCGAAGUUUACAACUUAAAGACUAAUGAGUGGUUUCAUGUAGCUCCAAUGAACACAAGAAGAAGUAGUGUUGGUGUAGGUGUUGUGGGAGGGAAGCUGUAUGCUGUUGGUGGCUAUGAUGGAGCGUCACGGCAGUGCCUUAGUUCAGUGGAAUGCUACGAUGCCAAUUCCAACGAGUGGAGCUACGUCGCAGAAAUGAGCACCAGGCGGAGCGGAGCAGGUUUUUUCAACUCGCAGAAGUUGUUUUAUUUCUCUAGAUGCGUUCCCAUGGACUUUUUCAAGUCAAAUUCCAUAAUAUUAUUUUCUACAUUUAUUUUUUAGUAGUUAAGUCACUUUUUUUGCCAAGUACUUAAUGGUGGUUUUUAGCAACACCCUUCAAGUAUCUACUAGUGAUUGCAAUAAUGUGCUUCAUAAUGGGAAGAGAUAUUGCUACAAAUAAAUCUGAAUGGACUUCUAGUAUGCUCAGUAUAUGAUUAAUAAUUACCCCAACUUCUCAUCUUACCUUCCAUUAUUCUUUGUUAACUCUGAACAGUUUUUACCUAUGUAAUAAAUUAAGUUCAAAUAAUUUCAAAUUAAAUUUAUCAAAGAACUAAAUUCGUUAUUAAAAUUAAGAUAGUCUGUGAUACUUCCAUCAUAUCCUUACAAGAUCAGCAAGCUGAUAACUCUUAUUACUAGAAGUCACAUUUCAAUUGUAUUUCUAAACUAAAACUUUGAUGAUAAUGAAGGAAACAUGAUACGUUAUACCUCAAGAAAACACAGUUGCCUUGUGAAACUUCUAGUAACUCAGUCUGUGCUUCUUGGAAGUAAAUUCUGGGUUAAAAACUGGACAGAGUUGCAGUGAGGGUACUGGAAAAUAUUCCUGUCUAAUAUUGGCAAGUUUUGAGGAAUAUAUUUAUAUAAAAUGGGCAACUUACAAGAAUAAUUUUAAAGAUAAUAGUGUUGGUGGGUUGUGACAAAGUUUCAUUUUGCAGUCUGCCUGCGCACACAUUUUGUUUCAGCAUUUGGGGUUUAUUUUUUGAUACUCUGUUUUUGCAAACUGUUGUUGUGCAUGUAGCCUAUUUAUAUAGCAGAUGUUUUCAGAUUUUUUUUUAAUGUUGAAUUUCUUCUACAACUUCUUAAAUAUACUAACUACUGGGAUCUUCCUGCCCCUCUCCUCACUUCCCUUGUCCCUGUGUUUGCUUAUUCAACUCUCUUUUGCCUUUUACCUGGUCCACUGAUAAAAAAAAUGGAGAGGAAAAGUAAAUGUAGACAGUUAUUCCAGUUUCAUAUAAUUGAGUAAAAUAAUCAACAUUCUUCUGUGCCACUCUGUUAAAUACAUGAAAAAAUUAUAUUUUUGCAUGGCAGAGGAAUGGGUGGUAAUGUGAAAAUCAUGACUGUUGAUUGAGCUUGGCUGUAGAGGCCAAAUAGCUAAACCCACCAGAACUGUUUCAACUGGAAAUCAGUCCUGGUGGUGUUAUGGGGGCUAACUAAAGACAAUGUUUUUCCUGUAUUCAACUUUUGGAUGUCUGGUCAUCUCAAAGAACUUAAGCUCAUCUCUUCUGUUCCUACUGCUUCAGCUUCACUCAAAAGCAACUUUUCAGAGGUUAACCCUCAGUUACUCUUCUUUAGUACCCACUGCUUCUCAGUUGAUCAAUACGGGGACAAAUCUGUUUCCAGCAACAUAUUGGGAGGAGGAACUUCAGAUCCAGAUAUAGGCCAUUUGGGAGGGCUGAGAGAUAUAAGACAGGGUCCUGAAAAAUGGGCAGGAAAGAAAAAUAACAAAGAAAGGAGAACUCAGAAGACGGCAACAAGAAGAUACAGACGGAAGGAGCAAGAAAUAAGGUAGGACCUGGAAACUGGGUGUGGGAUUAAGGGAAAAUGAAGCACCAUGGAGGAAGGGAGGACAUUAUUAAAAAUAAGGAGCAAUGAAAAAAAAUAAGUGGCAAUGUGGCAGAGGGAAAGUUCUACACACUGAAUAGGAAGGCCAGUAACUCUAUUGAAGGUAUGGGUGGGGGGAUUUAUGUCACAUCCCAUAUUUAAACUGAAAAUAUUAGCCCUCCUUCUGUAAUGUUUAAUUCUACAAAAGAUGAAUAUUGUACUUUCCUUUCUAAUAAAGUGUGAUCAGAGUGGGAGAAAGCAAAGUUGUCAUACUAUACUGUGGCAUGAUAGCUAGAAAUAAUAGCAAUAAAGAGGAAUUAAAUUAACUGGGAAGGAUUUGGGGAAAUGCUAGUAGUGAAUAUCACUGGUAAAGCCCUAAAUAGCAUGAUUUAAAAGAGUGUCCUAUAAAGAAGCUAUUUUUCAGAUUUACAGUACCAGUUAGCUUCCAUGUUUCCUUCCUCUCUUCUUUUAGUUAUUAAAAUCAGUCUCUUUAAUAAGAAAAUUUAGUCAUUUCAGCAGGAGUCGUUUCUCUUCACACAUAGAAAUGGCUCUUAAAUACAAAAUUAGUGAUAUGUUUUUAAAGAUAUUUCAGCUCAUUAUUAAGGUCUUGGGGUUCUCUUCUUUUUUUCUCCUUUGUUUUUUUCUACUUCCUAUAUUUUUUUUCUUUGAGGGACUUACCUCAUUUUUUGCAUUCAUAUUUGUUGUUUCCCCUCAAAAAGAUUCUAAGUGGUUCCAUGGAAUACUUUACGAGCUAUAUUUGCAAAUCUGUAUCUCUGCUUUGAGUUUCAUAGUCUUAAAUGUGGCAUUUAUUAGAUUUCCCAGUAUACUUUCAUAGAAGUGCUUUUUUAGUUGUCUUUAUGGUCCAUCACUCAGAAAUUUUAAUGCAAAAAAACCCCUACGGUUCUGAAAUUUAUUAUGUUUUGGUUCUAAUAAUGCAUUAUAAAGGGAGUAAUAAAUAAACAGGCCCUUCUUCCUGCUUCCCCCAUUUCCAUCUUUUCAAAAUGUGUAGCCCAAAUAGCAAGUAGAUAGAUCUAGCUUUACUCACGCCUUCAUUCCAAGCUCACAGAUUGAUAAACUUUUGUUGUGAAGUAAAGGAGACUUUAGGAUUAAAGGACACCCUUUAAUAUCCUUUUGGAUAUUUUGAUAACUGAAGCUUGGUUGAAAGAAGCUUGGUGUUCUUCAAAUCCCAGAGAAGGUACUCACUGCUAACUAUUUAAUUCUGUUCCAUCUGUUUACAAGGUAUUCCAACACUUCAGUGGAAACAUCCCUAUUGUAUAAUGUCUAUCCAUUCAGCUUUUAUCCUCUGUACUGCGCAGCUUUUACUUUCUAAAAGUUCACUUACACUUUAUCAUCCUGUCAGAUUUCUGUUAUGCUGGCUGAGCACAUUGUCUCAUUUACUGUCACUUCUAAUUAGUCCUAAAUUUCAACAAGCCUCAUUUUCCUGCACGUCAUUUUCUGUCCAAAAUUUUCUAAAUCUUCUGUUGCAGAACAGCUCUGGUCUUUGUAUGCUGCGAUAUGGUAGAUGGGCACGCAAGGCAUUUUAUCAGUGUCUUGCUGUAGUUACUGUCUCUCUGCUUUAAUGCAUCCUGACCCAAAUGUUUUCUGAAAUAGUUUCCAACAUUGACUUAACAAAGGAUUUAUGUAAGCUGACAUAUUUGUUGUUUCUCCUUUGUAUCGUUCAAAUAAUUCUCUGGUUAAUUCUGCGUAUUUUGAUAUGUUUGCAGGUGUUGGUGUGUUAAACAAUUUAUUGUAUGCAGUAGGUGGUCAUGAUGGUCCUUUGGUAAGAAAAAGUGUGGAAGUGUUUGACCCCAUUGCCAGUACCUGGAAGCAGGUUGCAGACAUGAACAUGUGCAGAAGGAAUGCAGGUGUUUGUGCUGUAAAUGGUCUCUUGUAUGUAGUUGGAGGAGAUGACGGUUCCUGUAAUUUAUCAACAGUGGAGUAUUAUAAUCCAACAACUGAUAAAUGGACAGUUGUGUCAUCUUGUAUGAGUACAGGAAGGAGCUAUGCAGGU